rnacentral:tRNA from 1 species
ACGGGCAUAGCUCAGCUGGUAGAGCGCUGGUCUCCAAAACCAGAGGUCGCGAGUUCGAUCCUUGCUGCCCGUGCCA